AUUGAACGCUGGCGGCAGGCCUAACACAUGCAAGUCGAACGAGCGGCGGACGGGUGAGUAAUGUAUGGGGAACUGCCCGAUGGAGGGGGAUAACUACUGGAAACGGUAGCUAAUACCGCAUACUAUCGGAUGACCCCAGAUGGGAUUAGCUAGUGGGUGGGGUAACGGCUCACCUAGGCGACGAUCCCUAGCUGGUCUGAGAGGAUGAUCAGCCACACUGGAACUGAGACACGGCCCAGACUCCUACGGGAGGCAGCAGUGGGGAAUAUUGCACAAUGGGCGCAAGCCUGAUGCAGCCAUGCCGCGUGUAUGAAGAAGGCCUUAGGGUUGUAAAGUACUUUCAGCGGGGCGGCGUUACCCGCAGAAGAAGCACCGGCUAACUCCGUGCCAGCAGCCGCGGUAAUUC
rnacentral:rRNA from 1 species